rnacentral:rRNA from 1 species
GACGAACGCUGGCGGCGUGCUUAACACAUGCAAGUCGAACGGUGAAGGGACCGGUUUUUGCUGGUUCUGGAUGAGUGGCGAACGGGUGAGUAACACGUGAGUAACCUGCCCCCUUCUUCUGGAUAACCGCAUGAAAGUGUGGCUAAUACGGGAUAUUCUGCGCCUGCUGCAUGGUGGGUGUGGGAAAGAUAUUGUUUCGGUGGGGGAUGGGCUCGCGGCCUAUCAGCUUGUUGGCGGGGUGAUGGCCUACCAAGACGGUGACGGGUAGCCGGCCUGAGAGGGUGGACGGUCACACUGGGACUGAGACACGGCCCAGACUCCUACGGGAGGCAGCAGUGGGGAAUAUUGCACAAUGGGCGCAAGCCUGAUGCAGCGACGCCGCGUGAGGGAUGGAGGCCUUCGGGUUGUAAACCUCUUUCGCCAGUGAAGCAGGCCUGUCCCUUUUGUGGGUGGGUUGACGGUAGCUGGAGAAGAAGCGCCGGCUAACUACGUG